GACGAACGCUGGCGGCGUGCCUAACACAUGCAAGUGGAGCGACGAACCGGGCUUCGGCCCGGGCCGAAGCCGCGAACGGGUGAGUAACACGUGGGUAACCUGCCCUGAUGAUUGGGGACAACCCGAGGGAAACUCGGGCUAAUACCGAAUGUGCCCUCCGACCAUAAGGUCUGCGGGGAAAGGAAGGCUUCGGCCUCCGCAUCGGGAUGGGCCCGCGGCGCAUUAGCUUGUUGGUGGGGAACGGCUCACCAAGGCGACGAUGCGUAGCUGGUCUGAGAGGACGAUCAGCCACACUGGGACUGAGACACGGCCAGACUCCUACGGGAGGCGAGCAGUGGGGAAUCGUUGCGCAAUGCGCGAAAGCGUGACGCAGCAACGCCGCGUGGGGAGAC
rnacentral:rRNA from 1 species